UUCCCCUCUUUUUUUUCUCCCGUCAGUUUCUUUUUUUUUUCCAGACAAGGAAUUUGAUUUUGGGUUUUAAUCAAUCGAUCAGUACCAGAAACACCACCAUCAAAAUGGGUUUCAAUCGAUCGAUCAGUACCAGCAAAUUAGGGUUUUACUCUCCAGAUCUGGCAGUGAUUUUAAAAGCUGAAUUAUCAAUCAUGGAAGUUAUAGUUUGUUGAAUUACAACAUCAUCGAAAACCAGAUAUCGUCUUCUCGUCGAUCGCGCUUUGUAAUAGGCUAUGUCCGUUAACAACAUCAACACCAGGAGGUGUUGUUGACAGAGGAGUUGGUAAAGGCAUUGGUUUCGGCGGUAGUUCUGGUCGUGGUGGAGUUGUUGGUGUGUGGUAUGGAAAGGACGGUGGAGUAUGCAUUUGCAUCUGAAGAAGGUGCUACUGGAGGUGAGGUUUUUGGUUCAGUAGGUGGUGGCGGUGAAGGGUAUAGACCGGGUUGUUGAGUAGGUAUUGGAUGCGAUAAACGGUGCUUGUGGAGGUGGAGGUAUUGGUGCAGGUUCCGGAGGUGCUGUUGUUGAGUGAGUCAUGACUAUAACCUAAGUUUUUGACUGAUAAUUUUGGGGGAUGAAAAAUGAAGUAUGUAGUGAUCUAAUACACGAUUGUGGUCACAUACACACCGCACACUACUUUUGUAAUAUACACAGAUGCAAACCAAUUUUGGGUUUAGGUUAUUAUUAGGAUUUCUCUUUUGUUUUCUCGGCAAGUUUCUUGAUGGGAUAACUUUGAGAGAAGAUCAGGUGAUAUAAUCUCCAUAGUAUUUCUUGUAAUUUGUAAAUAUCCAGGUCUUGCUAUUGUAUCCGUAAGAAUCGGUUUGGAGGAUUUUUUCUGUGAUAAAAUUCCUUAUAUUGAUUGGUUCAA